CUAACUAUAAAAACCCCAUCGAGUCGCUUGCGGCGGAGAGAGGUUCUUCCUGCCAAGUGCUGCAUUUCCAAGGCUCUGUAAGUUUUCCUUCUCUUUUUCUCUCCUAGGCUUCACUCAUUUCCAUUGGCUUCACCUUUGUUUGUACCGAGAAAAAAAAAAUGCCCUUAUGAGGGGGAGCAGGAAAGAAAAGACAUUAGAAUUGCUUAGGAUCUAGUAUUAACGGAUAUAGAAUCACUGAAUUGAAAUUUUUUACUUUUUUGAGAUAUCUAGGGUUUAUUCUCGUUAAUUGUUUGCUCUAUUUUUGUUGGGCAUAUCGUACUUUCUCAUACUAGAAUUUUAAUGGGGGACUUUUGGUAGUAUUUAUCUAGGGAAUCAGCAACUAUAACAUGUUGCUUAAACCAUUAUUCUCGUUUCUUUUUAAGUAUAUCUAUUGCGAAUUUCUUUCUUCUGAAGCAAGGAAUUUAAAUUAUAUUUAGUUAAUUAGCUGAAAUUGCAUAACACUAGAUGUGUUCAUAAUUCAUGGCUUUGUACUUGUUAUCUUAAUUAUAUUUCUGAUGAUCUUAAUCGAUGCUAAUUGAUUGUUUUAGUUUUUCCAAUUUUCAUUCAUUCAUUUAUUCUAUCUUAGCUGUAUGGUAGCUGUAUGCAAGGUCACAAGGGUCAUCUCUGUCAUUGGGGUUUUCUCUAUAAAUUAAUAAUACCAGUAACAAAAGUUUCUUGGAAAAAAAAUGGAGGACAUCAUCUCCAUGGAUGAAAAAUUCUUUGACGUACUGUUUAGCAAGCCUCUGACAGAGAAAACAGAUCUUCGGCAUCAGUUGCUUGUUCUGUCCAAGGUCCUCGCCGACGACAAGAAACCGAUUGGGGUGACUUAAUCAUUUCAAUAGAACAGAAUGGAAAGCAAUGGAAGUUUCCCCUAGCCACUCGCACAACUGAUCGUAGCAAACCUUCUAAAUACAUGAAACCAACGAUUCCCGCAGGCUCGUGGCAUCCAUUCGUACAAGAGUUUGGCCUUUGUGCAGGUGACGGGGUGAUUUUCUUUAUAAGGAAACGCGAUGGAGCUCGUAAUAUACACGUUCGCGGCAUGAGACAAGCUUUCCGGCUCAUGGGUAAGAGGGUUUGGAAAGAGGUGGAGAAGGUUGACAACCAGGCUUCAACAUCUCAACCGAGGGGACCUGCCUAGCUUCAGUCUUGAGGCCUUUAUGACGGUAGCUAGCUCCUAAGGGAUCAUUAUCUAUCUUCUGUGUCUUAGUUUAGCUGUUUGGUUAUGCAUGCAAGCUAUGGUGUGUUAUUUUUCUUCUCUUAUUAUUGAGAGUCGACCGGUCGGGGUUAUAAUCGUUAGUGUCCACUCUAGAACCGAUUUUCUAGCCUCUUUCACUUUUCUUUUUUGAUUUACAAAGAAUGGUCGAACUUUAAAAAAUUGUGUGUACAUGUUAUGGUGUUGAAAAUAGAUUUAUACAACUGUGUUUUGAUAUGUGGGAACUGUGCGAUAUCCAGGGAUGUGGGAGAUUGUGUAUUGUAAUUGUGUUAAUAAUAAAAUUGUACUUUGUAAUGAGGAGGUUGAGGAGGUGAGCCGGUGGAUAAUUUUUUAUGUUGCGUGUUGGAUUUUAUGGAAGUGGAGAAAUUCUGUUGUGUCAUGAAGAGAGGGCUAAUAGACCUGAUAAUGCUAGAGCGGCUAUUGCAGUGUUCUCUAAGCACUGUGUGCAGGCUUCUGAUCUGGCUAUUGUAGUAUUCUGUUGUGCUUUCGAGAGAUUGGGAGGUGCAGAUUAAACAUAUCUAUACUGACUUUCCAACUUAGGCCGUUCUUGCUUUUUGUGUGUUGCCCAGUUUGAAGCGCCACCUAUUGGGUUGACCAGCCUUCUCUCCUCCACGACAUUUGUGAUCUUACUGUGUUUGUGUUUCCCCUCUUUCCAAAAUAAAUAAAUAAAAUUGUACUUCGUGAUUGUGUUUUUGAAAUUGCGUGAAUAUAUU
rnacentral:misc_RNA from 1 species